rnacentral:rRNA from 1 species
AUUGAACGCUGGCGGCAUGCUUUACACAUGCAAGUCGAACGGUAACAGGCCGCAAGGUGCUGACGAGUGGCGAACGGGUGAGUAAUGCAUCGGAACGUGCCCAGUCGUGGGGGAUAACGCAGCGAAAGCUGUGCUAAUACCGCAUACGAUCUAUGGAUGAAAGCGGGGGACCGUAAGGCCUCGCGCGAUUGGAGCGGCCGAUGUGAGAUUAGGUAGUUGGUGGGGUAAAGGCUCACCAAGACAACGAUCUGUAGCUGGUCUGAGAGGACGGACAGCAACAGUGGGACUGAAACACGGCGCUGCUUCCUACGGUCGGCAGGUGGGGGGAGUUUUGAACAAUGGGCGCAAGCCUGUUCCAGCAAUGCCGCGUGCGGGAAGAAGGCUUUGGGGUUGUAAUCUUCUUUUGUAAGGAACGAAAAGUUUCGAGAUAAUCCCCUGAGCCGAUGACGGUACCGAAAAAAUAAGCACCGGCUAACUACGUGCCAGCCGCCGCCGUAA